AACGAACGCUGGCGGCAGGCCUAACACAUGCAAGUCGAACGCCCCGCAAGGGGAGUGGCGCACGGGUGAGUAACGCGUGGGAAUAUACCCAACAGUACGGAAUAACCCCGGGAAACCGGGGCUAAUACCGUAUACGUCCUCAGGGAGAAAGAUUUAUCGCUGUUGGAUUAGCCCGCGUCCGAUUAGCUAGUUGGUGAGGUAAUGGCUCACCAAGGCGACGAUCGGUAGCUGGUCUGAGAGGAUGACCAGC
rnacentral:rRNA from 1 species